rnacentral:rRNA from 1 species
UGGGGAAUAUUGCACAAUGGGCGGAAGCCUGAUGCAGCGACGCCGCGUGGGGGAUGACGGCCUUCGGGUUGUAAACUCCUUUCACCAUCGACGAUGGGUUUCUGACGGUAGAUGGAGAAGACGCACCGGCUAACUACGUGCCAGCAGCCGCGGUAAUACGUAGGGUGCGAGCGUUGUCCGGAAUUACUGGGCGUAAAGAGCUCGUAGGUGGUUUGUCGCGUCGUCUGUGAAAUUCCGGGGCUUAACUCCGGGCGUGCAGGCGAUACGGGCAUAACUUGAGUACUGUAGGGGAGACUGGAAUUCCUGGUGUGGCGGUGAAAUGCGCAGAUAUCAGGAGGAACACCGGUGGCGAAGGCGGGUCUCUGGGCAGUAACUGACGCUGAGGAGCGAAAGCAUGGGGAGCGAACAGG